AGACCCCUGCGGUGUUCGUGAGGAGAAACUAUCCUCCUGAACCGUUAAUUUUUAGAACCCUAGGAACCUUGCGCUGGUCGUGGAGCGAAGGCCCUCACGGGCUUACCAGAAGCGAUUAAUUCAGGGAUCCACCUUAAAACUGGGUUCAGAGGUUGCUAUCCCACGGCACAGGCGGGGGUCUU
rnacentral:other from 1 species